GCCGGGCGCGGUGGCGGGCGCCUGUAGUCCCAGCUACUCGGAGGCUGAGGCGGGAGAAUGGCGUGAACCCAGGAGGCGGAGCUUGCAGUGAGCUGAGAUCGCGCCACUGCACUCCAACCUGGGUGACAGAGUGAGACUCCGUCUCAA
rnacentral:sRNA from 1 species